rnacentral:misc_RNA from 1 species
GAUGAAGAACGUAGCGAAAUGCGAUAAGUAGUGUGAAUUGCAGAAUUCAGUGAAUCAUCGAAUCUUUGAACGCACAUUGCGCCCCUUGGUAUCCCGAGGGGCAUGCCUGUUCGAGCGUCAUUUCACCACUCAAGCCUGGCUUGGUGUUGGGCGACGUCCUCUUUGGGGACGCGCCUCGAAACGCUCGGCGGCGUGGCACCGGCUUUAAGCGUAGCAGAAUCUUUCGCUUUGGAAGUCGGGGCCCCGUCUGCCGGAAGACCUGCUCACAAGGUUGACCUCGGAUCAGGCAGGGAUACCCGCUGAACUUAAGCAUAUCAAUAAGCGGAGGA